UUUAAGAUGGCAGAGUAAAAUGCAUUAGGUUUAGGACCUAAAGAAGGUUAUACCUCUUAUAU
rnacentral:tRNA from 1 species